AUGAACGCUAGCGGGAGGCCUCACACAUGCAAGCCGAGCGGUAUUUGUUCUUCGGAACAGAGAGAGCGGCGCACGGGUGCGGAACACGUGUGCAACCUGCCUUUAUCUGGGGGAUAGCCUUUCGAAAGGAAGAUUAAUACCCCAUAAUAUAUUGAGUGGCAUCAUUUGAUAUUGAAAACUCCGGUGGAUAGAGAUGGGCACGCGCAAGAUUAGAUAGUUGGUGAGGUAACGGCUCACCAAGUCAAUGAUCUUUAGGGGGCCUGAGAGGGUGAUCCCCCACACUGGUACUGAGACACGGACCAGACUCCUACGGGAGGCAGCAGUGAGGAAUAUUGGACAAUGGGUUAGCGCCUGAUCCAGCCAUCCCGCGUGAAGGACGACGGCCCUAUGGGUUGUAAACUUCUUUUGUAUAGGGAUAAACCUACUCUCGUGAGAGUAGCUGAAGGUACUAUACGAAUAAGCACCGGCUAACUCCGU
rnacentral:rRNA from 1 species